ACUACUAUAAGAGUGUCACUCCACCACUCAACUCGAAACAUCCCUUUCUUUCUCUCUUUGCAGUAACUGCUAGUUAGUGAUGGAGCAAACUGAGCUGGUCUUCAUCCCAUUUCCUAUCAUCGGCCACCUUGCGCCUGCACUGGAGAUUGCAAAGCUGCUUACUCAGCGAGACCCCCGAUUCUCAGUCACGAUCUUCAUCAUAAAGUUACCGUUUGGGUCCAUUGAUGGUAUGGACGCGGACUCUGAUUCCGUACGGUUCGUCACACUUCCUCGGGUAGAGGUCAGCUCCGGAACGACCCCGUCUGGUCUCUUCCUCUCUGAAUUCGUCAAAGCUCACAUACCACUCGUCAGAGACGCUGUCCACGAGCUCACUCGCUCCAACCCAAUUCGGCUCGCUGGGUUCGUUGUUGAUAUGUUCUGCACCCACAUGAUUGAUGUGGCCGAUGAGUUUGGGGUGCCUUCCUAUCUCUUCUUCACUUCCAGCGCUGCUUUUCUUGGCUUCCUGUUGCAUCUGCAGUUCCUCCAUGAUUAUGAGGGCUUGGAUAUUAAUGAGUUCAAGGACUCGGAUGCUGAGUUGGAGGUUCCGAGUUUUGCUAACUCAGUUCCGGGUAAGGCCUUCCCUUCUUUGUUGACUGACAAGGAAAGCGGAGGGACCGAGAUGUUUCUUUUUCAAACGAGGAGAUUCAGACAAGUCAAGGGUAUUCUGGUAAAUACAUUUAUUGAGCUUGAAUCACAUGCUAUUCAAUCACUUUCUUGCAGUACAGUACCCGUAGUGUAUCCCGUUGGACCCAUACUCAACACCCGAAUGGGAUCUGAUGGGGGUCAACAAGAUGCUAGCCCCAUCAUGAACUGGCUUGAUGAUCAGCCUCCAUCGUCCGUGGUUUUCCUGUGCUUCGGGAGCAUGGGAAGCUUUGGUGCGGAUCAAAUCAAGGAGAUAGCACAUGCGUUAGAGCACAGUGGGCAUCGCUUCUUGUGGUCCCUUCGCCAACCUCCCCCAGAGGGUAAAAUGAUUCCAAGCGACUAUGAAAAUAUUGAGCAAGUUCUACCAGAAGGAUUUUUACAUCGGACGGCUAAAAUUGGAAAGGUGAUUGGAUGGGCUCCACAAAUAGCGGUUUUAGCCCACUCAGCUGUUGGAGGAUUUGUAUCUCAUUGUGGAUGGAAUUCUUUGCUAGAAAGCAUAUGGUAUGGUGUUCCGGUAGCCACUUGGCCGAUAUAUGGAGAACAACAAAUCAACGCAUUUCAAAUGGUGAAAGAUUUGGGGUUGGCGGUAGAAAUUAAAAUAGAUUACAAUAAGGAUCGUGAUUAUAUUGUAAGUGCUCAUGAGAUUGAAAAUGGAUUAAGGAACCUAAUGAAUACUAAUAGUGAAGUGAGGCGGAAGAAGAAAGAAAUGCAAAAAAUAAGUAGAAGAGUCAUGAUAGAUGGUGGGUCCUCACACUUUUCUUUAGGCCAUUUUAUUGAAGACAUGAUGGCCAACAUGUCAUGCAAACGACAAAGUGAUACCUAAUGUAUGAAUUAGUUUGUACUAAUAUGAAAGGAAAAGGUGCAUUGUCGGCUCCAAUUAACUGAUUUAUCUUCUGUUUUAUGUCAAUGCUCAAAUAAUUUCUUUGAUAAAGUCAAGAAAUUUGACCUUUCAAACCAGGAAAUGUGUUCUCUCUUUAUUAUUUAAUGAAAGAAGUUUACAAGGACAUGAAUUUAGUCAUAUGUUGAUCUCACUGAUCAAUGAAUACACAAUUGAGCAUUUUCCUGUAGGGAGCUGGACUAGUAAUAAAAUCAACUAUAUAAGUAAAAAAUCCUUAAACCCUAAUGAAUUUGGUUUACUGGGAUGAAUAGAGAUAAGAAUUUGUUGAAUUAAUGGAUCACUAUUAGAGAGAACCAUCCAUAUGAGAUACACAUUGAUAGAAAUUUAAUUAAUUUCUGGGUAGUGUGUAUCUUCUUUUCUGCAAGCAUGAUGCUCUAAUAGCAAAUUAAUGUUCUCAAACUAUUUGAUGUGUUGGUAUGGACUUAAGAAACUAAUAUCUCAUCAAUGCAUAUCAAGGCAUCCAGGCAUGUAAAACAUCAAUAGACUCAAAAAGAUUCUAAUUAGAGCCUUUUUGAAUUAGUAGGUAGCUACAUGAAGAAGGUGAUUGUUAUGGAGAUGAGGAUUUAGAAUUAUAGCUUCUUUAGAAUUGAUUGUGGAAAGAGUUGAGAGCAUAUGAUUUUUUUGUCUUUUUACAAGAAAAUUACUAUAAAGAUGUGAAAAAAGUCUUAAAAAAUAUAAAAUUUUUUUAAAAUAUUAUGUAUUUGGUAUUGAAUUAUCAAUUUGUCAUUUCUUUUCUUUUAAUGAAAAAUAAAUACAUAUGAAAAUUGAUAAUUGAAGUUGUUAUUCAAUCAUCUAAAUAUUAUAUUAGAUGGGCUGUAUUGUAAUGGUCUACUUCUUGUCAUGUAAAUAUUGUUUACUUUAAGUUCAAUCCGUCAUAUCCCAUAAGAUUAGGGUGGACAAACCAAUUCUCGCACUGGAUGGCUAGAUAUCAACUCUAAUACUAUUUAUAAUGGCUCACUCCCAACAAUAUAGAUAUUAUCAUUCCAACCGUCUAAAUAUUAUCUGUUUUAAACCCAAAAAUCUACUCACAACUUUAAACCUUGUGUGUAAAAUUAAAAAGAGCUUACACAUAUAUAAUGUUAUGAACUUUUCCUCCAUUUGAUGUAAGAAACCACAUGUAUUCCCUUAAAACAAUAUUGAUUCCAAUUAGAUGUGUAGAGGAACCAUUUGGUAUUAGAAACAAAAGAAAUACAUAGAUGGUAAUAUGUAUUAUUUCUCUUCCUUAGUCUUGUUGCAAGGAUACUCAUUCAUAUAUAAUAUAUAUUUUAUUUAAAGAACUUUGAAAAUUAAUUUUGUUUUAUACAUAAUUAACUUAUAAUUAAAAGAAAAUCAUUUGUAACACAAAUAUUGGAUUCAUAAAUAAUUAUAUGAGUAAUUAUCUUAAUUUAGCUCAAUUUUAAGUCUUAAAAUUACUGAUUCAAAAUCUAUUAAAUCAAAAUCAAAAUAAAAUAAAAAUUUGCUUACACCUUACAUGGAUACAUGGAUAAAUAAAAAUAAUAACUUAUAUACAAAAAAAACAAUUAUAGAAAAAAAUGAAAACUUAUCUCAUUUGCUUUCUAUAAUCGAAAUUUUGAGUGAACAAAAAUUGUUAACUUCAAAAUUUUAAGCUAUUUUUAAAAUUAUUUAUUUUUAAGAUAAAUCUCUAUUAUUUACCUAAGAAUUCACACUAGCUUUUAUUUCCAAAACCAAAACAUGUAUUCAAAGUUCACAUAAAUAUUGUAGAAAAGGAACCUUGAGCAAACUCUCCCCGUCACAUUAUUUUAUUAUUUACCUAAAGAUUUAUGCUUAGUGAAAAUCAAUUAACCACAUUGAGAAUUGAUGAUUCUAGGUAGCUAGUAACACGUGCAACCAUAAGAAAGCCAAUGAACAGUAUAUAUAUUCUCGUCUCUUCCUCUUUGAAUUCCUCAAAAGGCGAUGUCAUCCAUGAGCUCACUCAUUACACCCAUAAAACAAUGAACAAGAAGAGAUCAUACCGUAGGCACAUGACCAAAAGGUUGAUAAAAGAAAAGUGCAUUUCCAUCAAUCGGUGCCUUAAGUGAAAGAGCAGUAGUGCUAGAAACAUGCUCAACAUUGAUAAAACGCUCAAUUACAUGCACUUUUUUUAUCCACAUAACUAAAUACGAUAUCCAUUUCCAAGAUCUCUAAUAAUAGCAUUUAUGGUUUCAAUUGCAACAACUCUAACAAUGUCUUUAUGAAUUCAAGUGCCAUCAAUUUGAUAUUGUCAAGAGCAUUUUUCAGAGUUAGUACAAGUUUAAUAUUCUCAUUGUGAUCAACAAGAAAUCUCAAAUGUUCAAGAAAGUUUCCUUGAUUAUUAGAAUCUUCAAAUUCAUCAUGGCCACAAAAUGCAAUCUCUUGUCUUAAAAGAAAUCGAACACAAUCAAUAGAUGCAUUUAAAUGAAUUCGACACUUACUUCGAACUUAGUUAAUUUGAUUGUUUGGAGAAAAUUGUAUCAAUAUGUUGUCUUUGGUUUAAUAAGGCUUCACAUUUGCUCUAAGCUUGAUUAUAAGCACUAAAGGGGCCUCCAACAUGAAUAUUGAACUUUUCUUUCUUCUUCUAAUUUGAGAACCCUUCACUAACAAAGGAAUCGUUGUCUAGUUGUUCUUCAAUAUCUGGUUUAAAAAGAUAGCAACAUAAACAAAAUGUGGCAUCUUUUGCUAUGCUAUACUCAAGGAUGAAAAUUUCUGUUUUUUUGGGCGAAAUUUCGUGUUUCGGGUGGCGGCGAAACGAAAGAGGAGGGCGAAAUGUCGACGGUAGAAAUAUCCAUAAAUUUCGCCAAAAAUCAAAGAAAUUUCAGUAAAAAGAGAAAUUUCGGUGAUUUUUUGAAAAAAUCGCCUCCAGUUGGAAAAUUUCGGAGAAAAAUCGUUUUGUUUCGUUUUAUUUAGGCGAUUUUUUGCCCAUUUUGUGAAAAAAUAUUUGUACCUCUAACACCAAAUCUAAACGGACACGUUAAUGGCGGGAUCAUCGGCGGUGUGGUCAAGUUACACAACCACGGCUCAGUCGUUGGUGUUAGGGCUUGGAAGAGAGUUAGGGCAGGUGAAGAGUGGUUGAUUUCGUGGCAGAGAGAGAGAGUUGAGGCGAUGGGUCCGGCAAGCAGCAGCGAUGAUGUUGGAGCCGGCUUUGGCGAGGUUGAAACAGAAGUCGCGGCCGAGGGCAGAGGAAGCAUCGGUGACCAUGACCACCUUGCCUUCUAGGCGGUGCCAUGGCUGGAGGUGGUUGGAGACUUUGUUCACCAUUGGGUCUCUGGCAUCCAUUAAAAGAAAUAAACAUUUUCAUUAUGAUAUUUUUUUUCUAUUACCUAUUUUUAGAAUAUUGUAUUUUUUUAAUAUGCGUGAAUAAAGGAAUAAAUAUUUUUUUAUUGGAUCUUUUUAUAAUUUAUUAAAAAAAAUUACUCUUCUAAUAUUUCUUAAUUUUCAAUAUUAGAAGAGCAAUUAUUUCUAAAUGUAAUAUAUUUAGAUAAAAGAAAAAAUUACAUUUUUCUUGAAGAAAUUUUUUUUUUAAUAUAUUCCUAAAUUAUUAAAAGAUUGUUAUUUUUUAUUUUUUAUUUCAUAUGUUAAUAACUUAUUAGGAAGAUUGUUAUUAAUUUCUUUUGCAGUCUAGAAUGAAGGAAUUUAAAUGAAAAAGGAAAUAAUGGAUUUGGAAUAGAGGGAAUUUUUAGAAGGAAAGAAUUUUAAAGGAUUUGAUUGGAUACUUUUGAAGUUUUUAAUUUAUGAGAUUUUAAUUUUAUUAAAGUAAAUUUUAUUUUUUUCAAUGCUGACUUAUUACUCUUACCUUUUCUCUUUAAAUUUAAAUUAAUAUAUACAUUUUUGUCUUUUGCACUUACAUACUAUUUCUAGCAUCUUUUUUUUUUUUUUGGAACUUUUGUGGAAUUUUUAAUGAUAGAAUCUUCUCGAAUAAAUUAUUUUAAAUAUGUAUGAGGUUUCUUUUCUUUCUUUUUUCAAUAUAAUAGAUGCCAAAAUAGAGUGGAAGAAAAAAAGAAUUUGCUACAAUAAUUAAUGUAUUUUUUUAGUAUUUUUAUUAGAAUAAAUAAUUCUCCAACUUGAGUGAAUUCCCAAUUUUAAUCUCACUUAUAUCAUUGUAAUUGUUAUAUAUUUUUAUAUCAAGUCUUUCAUGAAGCUUCAUAAUGAGUGUACAAUUACAAAAUUCACAUUUCUUAUCGACCAAUAUGAUAUAAUUACAUUUAAUAUCGUAAAUUAUAUUAUACAUAUAUCAAAUUCUUCAACAAAACAAUUUUAAAUUGUCUAUUUUAUUUCUAAUUACAUUGCUAUGAGGUUUUUCUUACAUUUCCAUGAGUUUUGAUCAAAUUUUGGCAUACUGAAAUUUUUUUCCAAAAUAUCCGCCGAUAUUUCUCUGAUAUAUCCGAUAUAUUUGUAAAAUCAAGUUACUGAUAUAUCCAUGAUUACCGAUAUUUUCAUCCUUGGCUAUACUCCAACUAAUUAGCAUAUUCAGUAAACCAAGUAGGAUUGAAUUGUCGUGAUGUUUCCCCAAAUUUCUUAAAGGGGAACUUAUAUUUUUGAGGCUCGUGGACCUUUUUGCAAAUACGCUCUUUGAAUUUGAACUCGAACAUUAGGAUUAUAAUCCAAAAUUUGAGUUAGUAACCUAGGGUCUGCAAGAAGAUCGUCUAAGUUAAUUUCAAUUUGAUUUUGUUUCAAAUCUUUAUUAUUUCCUUUUGAAAGAGCCGACGAUUCAAAUUCUAAUUUUCUUUUAAAGUCUUUCUCCAUAGCUAUUUCAAAAUUUAAUUUAUAUAUUAUUAAUGAUAUUGUCAUGCUUCAAAAAUAAUAAUUCUAAAAAAUAAUUUUUUUUUAAUAUAUUACUAAUUUCACAAUCGUUCAACAUUUACAUAAAAGUUAACUACUGGAUUUCAUCAAUAAAUAACAUUCGCAAUAUAUUUAAUAAUAAACUUUUUACACAAUCUAUUUUUAAAUACAAUUUUAUUUUUGCAUAUUUGUCAUUAUAUUAUACAAAAAUUAUAUAAAUUAAGUAUAUAAUAUUAGUAUAAAUAAAAAGAUAAAAGUCAAUACAAAUUAAUCCAACAAAAAUAUAUUUCAUCUUACAACAAACUCUCUUGGUAUUAAUCUAAGUAAAAUAUCAAUACAAAGUCCAACAAAAAUGUAUUCCAUUCGGCAACAAACUCUCAUGAUAUUAAUCUAAUAUCAAUAAAAAUGUAAAAUGUCAUUGCAAAUUUCAACAAAAAUAUAUUACAUUCCACAACAAACUCCCAUGGUAUUAAUCUUAUAUGAAUGAAAAUGUAAAUGUCAAUAGAAGUUUCAAUAAAAAUAUAUUCCAAUGUAUUCAUCAUCAUAACAUAUUAAAAAAAAUUAUAUAAACUAAGGGAUAUAAUAUUAACAUGAAAUUUCAACAAUAAAUUUCAUUUUUUUUAAUAAUAAAUUUAAGAUUAAAUACUAGUAAUUAUUAUUAAUAAUAUAUUCUAAAAAAUUAACAAAACAUAUAUUUAAGAUUUAUUUAUAAAAUAUUCCAAUAAAAUUUAUAGAUAUAUAUGUAAAACAAAACUUACAAAUUUUUUUCCUCCCCUUCUUCCUCUUCUUUCUUCUUUUCCUUCUUAUUUUAUUUCUUUCACUCUCUUUGACUAAUUUGUUGUUUCUUCCUGUUUCCCCUCAAAUACUAUUUUAAAUAUGAAAAGACAAUUAGGUGGCGGAUGGCAGAGGACUGUAAAUUGUGGUGAAUUUUUAUUUUUAUUUUUAUUUUUUUUGAGUCACAUUUACUCUGUAUACAAAUACGUCCAUUGAAUUAAUAAACAUAGGCCUUAGCACAAUGGUUUAGGCAUUAUUUUGGUUCUAUCUUCAUCUUCAUCAUUGAGUUGUAUCAGUGCCAUAAAAUAACCUAAUUUUUCUUUCCUUUUUCUAAACUAUUUUUCACCAUGAUCCCAAAACCCAUACUUUUUUUAUUUGGACUUCGAGAAUACCUAAAUUAAAUAGCCCAAUGCAUGGGCUUAGAAAACUUUUCAUGGGCUAAAUAAACUUAGCUCAACAAAUUUAGCUUAAUAUUUACCCUUAAAGUUACCCAUUCUAGGUCUAUUAAAUCAAAAUCAAUAUAAAUAAACAUUUUUACCUUUUUUUAUACAAAAUAAUAAAUUUUAAGCUUAUCAUAUAUGCUUUCUAUAAUUGAAGUUUCAAGUGAACAAAAAAUUGUUAAUUGAUUAAUUAUUUAAGUUAUUUUUAAAAUUAUUUAUUUCUAAGAUGAAUCUCUAUUAUUUAUAUAACAACUUAUAUUAUCUUUUAUUUUCAAAAAUAAAAAAAGUAUUCAAAGUCCACUUAAAUUUUGUAGAAAAUGAACCUUAAGCAAACUCUCCUGAUCACAUUAUUUUAUAAUUUACCUAAAGAUUUAUGUUUAUCAAAAAUCAAUCAACCACAAUUAGAAUUGGUAAUUCUAGGUAGCUAAUAACAUAUGAACUCACAAGAAAGCUAAUGAAGAACAUGUACAUUCAGGUCUCUACCUCUCUGAAUUCCUUAAAGCUAACAUAUCACUCAUCAAAGACAUCGUCCAUGAGCUUACUCUUCACAACCAUACAACAAUGAAUAGGUAGAGAUCAAGAAGAUCAUACCGUCAAGGCUUCCCCAAAAGGUUGAUGAAAGAACUUGUAUCUUCACUCUUUGAACUAUAGAACAAUGCCUAGAACACAACCUAAUUUUUCUUUCAUUUUUCUAAACCACUUUUCACCAAGAUCCAAAAGCCCUAAAUGCUAUUUAUAUUUGGACUUCAAUUUUUUAAAAUUAUUUAUUUUAAAGUUAAAUCUCUAUUAUUUAUAUAAGAACUCAUACUAUUUUUUAUUUUCAAAAAUGAAAAAUGUACUCAAAGUCCACUUAAAUUUUUUAGAAAAUUAACCUUGAGAAAACCCUACCGGUCACAUUAUUUUAUCAUUUACCUAAAUAUUUAUGCCUAUCGAAAAUCAAUCAACUACAUAGAAAUUUGAUAAUUCUAGGUAGCUUGUAACAUAUGGAAUCACAAGAAUGUUGAUAAUGUACAUUUUGGUCUCGCUCUCUCUAAAUUCCUCAUAGCUCACAUAUCACUUAUCUCUAAUGUCAUUCAUGAGCUCACUCAUAACACCCAUAAAAUAAUGAACAAGAAAGAUCAAAAAGAUCAUACUAGAAGGGCUUUCCCAAAAGGUUGAUGAAAGAACUUAUACCUUCACCCUUUGAGCUCUAGAAUAGUGGCCAAAAAACAACCUAAUUUUUCUUUCCUUCUUUUUAAGCCACUUUUCACCAAGAUCUAAAUGCCCUAGAUGCUAUCUAUAUUUGGACUUAGUGAAUACCUAAAAUAAAUAGCCCAAUACAUGGGCUUAGAAAACUAUUUCUGGGCUAAAUAAACCGAGCUUCACAGAUUUAUAGUUUAAUAUUAACCCUUAAAAUUACCCAUUCAAGAUCUAUUAAAUCAAAAUAAAAAUAAAAUAAAUGUUUUUAAAACCUUUUCUAUACAACAAAUUAAAAAUUUAUAAAAAAAAAUGAAAACUUAUCUUUUAUGCUUUCUACAACUAAAAUUUCAAGUGAGCAAAAAACUAUUAACUUCAAAAUUUUAAGCUAUUUUAAAAUUAUUUAUUUUGAAGAUAAAUCUCUACUAUUUAUAUAAGAACUCAUACAAUUCCAAAAAAAAAUAGACAGAUAUGAUUACAACAAAUGGCAAGAGUGGUAGCAAAGGUAAGUUUUGAAAAGAUUUUCUUAUAUAGGAGUUUCACCAAUUCCCCAAUUGAUUUACAUGAAUUUAGCCCAAAAUUAUCCCAUUAUUUAGGAUCACAAGCUUUGAUUUGUGUUUUUGUUCAAAACCAAACUUUUUGUUGAAAACCGAGAAGGAUGCAAACCGAUCAAGAUAUGGUUGCAUAUUAUUUUAAAAACAGAUUUUGAUCCUAAGGACUCUAAAUGAGUUUUUUGUUUUUUUUUGUUUUUGAAAAAUAGAUUUUCUUAAAGGGGUCUUUGGAGAAAAAGGUUUUGAUUUUAAAAUAAAAGGAAUUAAUUCUUAAAAUAACUAAACAUAGAAAACAAAAUACCAAUCAAAACAAAAGGAAACGAAAAUCAUAAAAUAAAGAUUUAGAAAAUCAUGUCAAUUAAAGUGAUGAGACUAGGGCCAACCUUCAUGGGUUUCCAGUGGCCUUACAAAAAAAUGAUUUGACCAACAAUUACUAAGGCAACAAACUAAUGACUUCCUAAUCAAACAAACUAACAAAAUUAUCAUCCAAAACUAACAUCUAGAUUUCAAGAAACAUAUAAUAAAAAAGGAGAACAGUAAGGGAUUAAAGUCAACAAACUUAGCAUAUGAAGAUAAUAAUAUGGGAUCAAUUAAAGUAAAUUAACAUUCUAACAAAAUAUAAUAAAUCAAAGACCCAAGUUCAACAAUCUUGAAAAAAAACAUGAAAACAAUAACAUACAAUUAAUAGGUUGAUUAUCUAAAAUUCCUAAAAACUCAAACUAGAUAUUAAUUAAUAGAUCAAAAUCAAAAUAUGUCAUACUCAAAAUAUGAAAAAUAAUAACAUGUGAUUGACUAAAUUAAUUGACCAAAAUUACAAUCAAAACACAAAAAUUGAACAUGAAUGUAUUAAAAUCAAGAUUAACAAAAUCAGAAACGCAUGAACACAUUUGAACUAGGAAAUAAUAUACUAGGUUAAAUUAGAAUUAAAAACAUCAACAUCAUCUAAUAAGAUUGGCUAAACUAUCAAAUUAAAAUUCCAAAUAUAUUUAAACUAAAAUAAAUAAAUAAAUCAACAAAUUAAAACUAGAUUAAAAUCGGAAUUAAAAAUAUGGAAUUUAUCUAAGAGGAUUAGUCAAACAAAUGAAUUAAAAUCAUAAAUGCAUUCAAAUGAUAGAAUAUUAAAAUUAAACUAAAUUGAAAUUAAGUUUCAUCCAAUAAGAUUAUUUAAACUGAUGAGUUAAAAUCAACAAAUGCAUUUAGGCUAAAAACAAGUUAAAAUCAAACUAAUUGGAAUUAAAAAUACAAACUUUAUUUGGCAUGAUUAUUUGAACUAAAGAAUUAAGAUCAACAAGUACAUUUAAACUAAAAACAUAUUAAAACCAAACUAACUAGGAAUUAAAAACACAAACUUUAUUUGACGGGAUUAUUUAAACAAAAGAAUUAAGAUCAACUAAUGCAUUCAAACUAAAAAUAAACUAGAAUUAAACUAAUGGGAAUUAAAAAUAUAAGCUUUACCUCACAAGAUCAAUUAAACUAAAGAGUUAAUAUCAUUAACACAUUCAAAUUAAAAAUAAACUAGAAUUAAACUAAUCCGGAAUUAAAAAUAUAAACUUUACCUCACAAGAUCAAUUAAACUAAAGAAUUAAGAUCGAUAACACGUUCAAAUUAAAAAUAAACUAGAAUUAAACUAAUUAGAAUUAAAAAUAUAAACUUUACCUCACAAGAUCAAUUAAACUAAAGAAUUAAGAUCGAUAACACAUUCAAAUUAAAAAUAAACUACAAUUAAACUAAUUGGAAUUAAAAAGAUAAACUUAACCUCACAAGAUCGAUUAAACUAAUGAAUUAACAUCGUAAACACAUUCAAAUUAAAAAUAAACUAGAAUUAAACUAAUUGGAAAAAAUGCAAACUUUACCUCACAAGAUUAUUUAAACUAAUGAAUUAACAUCAUAAACACAUUCAAACUAAACAUAAACUAAAACUAAAUAAAUCCAAAAAAAUAAAAAAUAAAAACUUUAACACAAGAUUAUUUAAACUAAUAAAUUUAGAUCAACAAAUGCGUUUAAACUAAAAACAAAUUAAAAUUGAACUAACUUGAAUUAAGAACACAAACUUUAUUUAAACUUUCAUAUAGAUUAAAAUAAACUAGCAUAGAACUAAUGAAUUGCAAUCAUAAACGAGAGACAUUUAAUCUAAGAAAAAUUACUAAUUGAGAUUUAAAAGAAUUUAUCACAAACAAUUAAUUAAACCAAUAAACUAAAACCCAAACUAAAAAAAAGAAAUACUCUAUCCAAAACUGAAAAAUGACCUGUAUUGUGUCAGAAAAAUACUCUCUUGUGUCAAAAUGACAGCCCAAUUAGUGUUUGAAAUCCUCUGCUACUCCCAAAAAACUCGUGUGUCCUCUCUAAAAAAAGAUUGCUCAUGUGUUGAUCUCUGCCAAAAAUUCCUCCUUUGCCCGUUCCUCUAUUCUUCUCUCUGACCAAAAAUCCCCUUUGCCAAAAGAAAUCAAUCCCCAACACCCCCCUCCAUUAUCAUUCACCGAACCUCCAUUCUUCUUGCUGCAUGGUGAGUGGUUCUCCAUGGUCCUUCAUUCGGCUAGGGAUGUGACUGUGACUGCAUCGAGAAGUGUGCGACUGCAUGGAGAAGACUUCUUCCCUGCUUGGAGAAUCAUGCUGCUGGUCCUUGUCUCCCUCAAAGCAGCAUGAUAUUCCGGGGGGUUAUUCAUCUACGCGGCUGUGUAUGUUCUCUCAUGCAGCUGUGUGUGUUCUCUCAUGCGGCUAUGGGGACUCGUUUGUGCACCAACUCUUUCAAGGAUGCAGCCGCUUUCCUUAUGGCAGCAUGUGGAGAAGAAAAUCCCCUUCGCGUGUAAGAAAAGGCCUUUCUUAUGGUGCAAGACUGACUCUCUCCAAAAAUGGCAGCUGCGUGGAUGAAGAAUUGAUGCGCAAAUUGGAGGUGGACCAAUCAUGGAGGUUCAGGAAUCGGGAUGCCAAUGUUGCUGUCAGUUUUCCUUUCCUCUCUUCAAUGCGCGCUGAAAAUGUAUCAAAAAUGGUGCGACUGGUUGAUGGUCGUCUUCCCAAUGGUGCAAUUGCACCUUUAUCCUGAUCAGAAUCAGUGUCCACUCCUCUCCAAAAUCUAGUGCAUCUCCAUUCAAAAAUCUGGUGCAUCCCCCCUUUCAAAAAUCCCAUCAUACCCCCUUCCAAAAUCUGGUCAUCUUUUCCCUCAAAAAUCUGGUGUAUCCUUCUAAAAAUCUGGUCAUCUUUCUCUUCCAAAAAAGUACAGCAUGAUCAGAACUCCUCCUCAGUUCCUCAAGAAUCUGCUAAGAAUCCUUCCUUCCAUACCUGCUUCCACCUUGCAACCGUAGAGAUCCUUCAAUAUGUGGACUAUCCAGAUCUUUCACAUGUGUGUUGGCCACUUACCAUCCUUGCAUGGUGACAUCUUCCUUCCUUUUUAUACAGGAUUCUUUCCAAGUUUCUUUAUUUGGUCAUGAUUUUCUCUCCUUGAUGGCUCCAAGUCUCAUGCAAAAAUUAACAAUAAAAUUGAAAUAAGAAAUGUGAGUUAUGGUCAAAAUGAAAUAUAAUGAAAUAAAAUAAAAUAUCAAAUCACAUAGCCACGAAAUCCAAGAUAUCAAUUUAUGGGAUUAAAGAAUGAAUAAAUAAGUAGGUAAAUAAACAAAUAAAUUGACAAAAGUAUAAAAAUAAAUAUUAGACGUAUGCAAUUAGGAAAAAUCAAGAAAUUAAAUUAAUGCAACGGAUUAUAAUAAUUUAAAUGUCAAACUCAAACCAUUAAAAAUCAGAAAAUUCAUUCAUGCAAUAAAAAGUCAAGCCAACACUCAUCUUAUCCCGAAAAAUGAGUAACCAAAAUCAAGAUCAUGCCUAAGUGAACUAUGCCAAAAGAAGUGUCUAAGUGACCUAUUCUGAAAGCAUGUCUAAGUAACCUAGGGUGAAUAUAUGCAAGCUAGAAGGUAUUAAGUGCAUCUAAGUGGGCCUAAGGUGGUGCCUAAUGGGCCAAGUGUAUCUAAAUGGGCCUAGGGUGCCUAAGUGGGCCUAAGUCUAAGUGAGCCUAAGUCUAAAUUAGGGCUACCAAGAGUUACAACGGGGUUAGAUAAAUCUCUCAAACAAAGUCCUUAAGGUGGCUUAGAAAAGAUAGACUACAUGAGUAGUAAUGGGCCACCAAGGAAUUGCCAUAAAGUACUUAACAAAUACUUAAUAGAACAUGUGCUAGGAGGACAAAAUUGAGGGUCUACAAUGCUACUCAUUGACUCCAGAUGAGAUGAAGGAAUUUUGCAAGCUUUUAAAAUCAGUCAAGGUCCUUGAUAGUUAUUCUUCAAAUAUAUCUUGAUGCAUCCAACUCAAUGAAAGGAAAAUAUAUGGUCUAAAGUCACAUAAUUGUCAUGUUUUGAUGUAGCAACUUCUCUUUGCAAUUUUUGGAGUUUUGCAUAAGAAUGUAUUUGGAGUUAUUAUUGAAUUGUGCAACUUUUUCAAGCAGUUGUGCUCAAAGGUCUUAUCAACAUAUCAAUUACAACGGUUGGAGAAUGAUAUCAUUGUCAUACUAUGUAAAUUAGAGCAAGUAUUUCCUCCAUCAUUCUUGAACAUUAUGAUGCAUCUACUUGUACAUUUAGCAAAUGAGGCAAAGAUUGUUGAACCUAUGCAAUAUCGCUGGAUGUACCCUAUUGAAUGGUAUUAUCAUGAUUCCAUACUCCUAAUUUAAUAUUAUUUCAUAUUAUGUUCAAUUCAUUAACAUGUCUAUUGGUCUACAUAUGGCUGAUAAUAGGUACCUACACACUUCAAAGUUGUAUGUGCAUAAUAGGACUUAUCCAGAAAGUUUUAUUGCGGAAGGAUACCUUGUAGAGGAAUGUACAACAUUUUGUUCUAGGUACUUCAAUGAUGUGGAAACAAAGUAUAAUCACACUAAUAAAAACUUUGUUGGUUUGACCAACACAAAAGAUGAAGGGUUGAUUAUCUUCAAAUGCAUUGGACAUGCAUUGGGAAGGUCUACAUGUUGUGAACUUAGUCCAAAAAAGUGGGCAUAAGCACAUUUAUAUGUGCUAACAAAUUGUGAAGAUGUCAUUUCAUUCAUUAAGUAAGAAAUUUAUUUAAAUUUUAAUUAAAACUCUAGUUUAAAUACUUAAUUAAUGUUUCUUUGAUUCAUAGGAAGCAUAAGCAAAUCCUUAGGUCUAAACCUCGCAUAUCUACUCGAGAUGGAGAUUUGAUUCAUAAUAAGGAAUUUAUGAAGUGGUUUGAAAGACGUGUAAGUAUAUUCCUUAUUAUGUAAUUUGUUUUAUAUUAUGAUUAUAGAGAAUUCAAUAUCAUUAUUGCAUUAUAGGUUGCACAAUUGCAUCGUGAAGGUCAUAAAUUUGAACACCUUCUAGCAUUAUCAUAUGGUCCAAAUACAUAUGUUAUGUGCUUUAAAGGAUGCAUUAUUAAUGAAUUUAGAUUCCACACGAAGGAGCGUGAUAACAAACGAAAGACUUAGAAUAGUGGAGUUAUUGUAAUUAUAGAAAAAUCAAGCUUUGUAAGUGCUCAAAAUAUGAAUCCAAUUACAGGCGAUGUCCCCUACGAUGGUGUCCUUACUGAAGUUGUUGAAUUACAUUGCCUUCGUGGAAAUAAGGUUGUUUGAUUCAAGUGUGAUUGGUGGAAUGUUAUAAAUGUUGGAAGAUGAAUAAAAAAAAAAGAUGAAUAUGACUACAUUUCUGUUAAUUUCACACGAAUGUUAUCCAUAGAUUAACCAUUUGUGCUUGCAUCUCAAGCCAAACAAGUGUUCUAUGUGAAGAACUCAAAUGAAUCAGAUUGGUAUACUAUCAUAAAGAUGCAACCCUGAGAUUUAUAUCAGAUGAGUGGGGACAAAUCUAAUGGUGAUUUUGAACCAUUUCAACAAAGUGAAUCACAUGAUGAUCGCCUACCUAUCUUAGAGUUGGUUGAUGAAAAUACAAUUGUGUGGGAUAGAAAUGAUGUUUUAGGAGAAACCAUGAAAAUAAUAUAAUUCCUUGACAAAAUGAAAAUGAAAAGGAUUGAUGUAAUUCCUUGAAGAAAGAGUUGUAACUUUCUUUGGGGGUAGAUAUAAAAAAAUCUAUUUAGAAUUUCUUGCAUUUUCAAUAAAUGAUUUCUAUUUUUUGAAAUUUUUUUAUUUAAUAGUUAUCAUUUUUGUUUUUAUUUUUUCUAGCCUUAUCAUACAAAACCAUGUCUUACCACUGCAACAAGCUUAAACAGGUAAUUGUACCCGAUAUUUUCAACCAUGGGCAAAUAACAACUACUCAUAAUCCCAUGCAUGCUUCUAGAUUACUUACCAACCAACCUGAUAGUGUUAGGAACCCUAGAUUACUCCAUUUCAAUGCCUUAGAUCUCAUAGGGUGCAUGCAUCUAUCCUUAGGGCUCUCUAGAUCUAACGUAGUGGAAACUAAUAGCUCCAAAAACCAUUAUAGAAUAAAAAUCUAGAGAAAAAGUGCUCAUACCUGGAUCUAGAUGUUCCUAGAUCAAUUCAUUGUGAUGAAGAACAUGCCUAGAAAAACACGAGAAUCUCUCCUUAUGUUGCUACCCACAUGCGCGUCCCAUUCUAUUUCUGUGCACACGACCUAUGUACACCCCUUGCGAUUCUCGUGCAUGUGGCUUGUGUGAUUCUAGUGCAUUUCUCAUACACUCAAGAUCUUCUAUCCGAUGACUCUUAUUUCUAAGCAUUGAGAUGAUGAAGAUUUCAAGGGUUGACGUUAGGGUUUUCUAUUUGGACUUAAAAACGAAGAACAACAAGACCUAAAAACCUUAACCCCUAAAGGGGUAUUUAUAGGUUUUUUGCUAAGCUUAAGUGACUUAAUCUACCACCGGCUUGGGACACUUAAUCUAACCUAAAAAGUUUGCUAAUUGAUUAAUUAAUCAUAUAAGGCCCUAAUUAAUCAAUUAGCCCAAUCCAAAGAUACCACUCACUUGUCCUUGUGCAACCUUACGUAAUUACUAAAACUCCCUUAUGCACAAAACUGAACUAAAAACCCAUUCAACCCUCACAAACUGUGUCAUCAAGGAAUAUGAGCUCAGAACGAGGACCAUUGGGACCCAUAGGAGUACUGGCUCCUUGAGAAUCAAAUUUUAAAAUUAACUCAAUAUCUCAUUAUAAAAAGUCAACUACAGUCUAGUACCCUAUGUAUAUUAUGACGAGACACCAAGUGCUUAAGUCCGUGACCUACUAUCCAUUGCUUGUAGAUUUCCCAUGAACUAGUGUUCGUAAUCUAACAAAGUAGCGUUAUCACCUAUCAAAAUUACCUCUCAAAUCCUUGAGUUAUAGAUCCCACUUAUCAUGUGAUCAACUGACAUAUUAUAGCUCCAAGGAGCCAAUGUCAAAUUCCACUAAAGGAAUUACUGUGGUCAUAGAUUUCAUGAUCACAUGUCCUUUGGAUCACCCAAUGAGACACACUAUCUCAAUCCCAUGAGAUAUCAUGAUGCCUAUAUAGAGAAUACCUAUUGUCACCACCCUCCAUCAACAAUGACCCAAUCCAUAGGGAUAUAUGACCACUUUAGGGUCUCACUCCAUAGGACAAAGUCUCUUAUUGAUUUUGGCACAAACUCAAUAUCCUCUCAAGGUUGAGAGUCCAUGUAGUACAGUAGCUUGGUGAAUUAUGACAAUUGACAGCCUUGCAUCAUGAUUCACCGUAGGUCCUGUCCAGUGUGCAUCACAUACACAAGUGCACUCACCAUGGGAAACCCAUCCCGAUGGCCAAGACAAGUCAUCCCUCCAAUUAGGAGGUGGUUCACUACAAUCUUUAUUGGAUUACCUAAAUCCAUGAACUAACUAUGGACAACUUAUCUACUUAUAAGGAACUCAUAACUUGUAUCUUCUGUGCAAUUCCUGACGUACUCAAGUCAUGUGUAAUGUAAGAGACAUGGAUUGAAUACUCAAAUAAAUGUCAAUAUACCAAAAGGAUAGUAAGAGGAUAGUUAAAUCUAACUUUGUUACAUCAGUCUUACUUUUAGAGGCUCAAUCGCAACAGAUAGCUCUGAGUAUAGUGUUUCUAGUAUGACAAUUAUAUUAGAUUUAAAAUGAUAACUACAUUUAUAUGCUCAUAUAAGUUAUAAAUUAAUUUUUUCCAUUCUUUUUUUGUUUCAAUAAGGAUGUCCUCAGGUCAAAAGAGGACACGUGGCCCAACACAAAACAUUGGUUUGUUAGGAUUGAGACUAGGGGAGAGGGUAAAAGUUUCAUUCAAUGAAUAUGGGCAAUUGGUAAAUGAAAUAAAGGGACGUCGUUUAACAAGCUACGUGGGGACCCUUGUACGUAAUCAACACAAAUGUGCCACAAUAGGUUAUUGAUUAGUCAUGUGUUUCAACUGAUGCAAAAGAAAAUAUAUGGGCCCUUGUUUUGGUAUGUUUUCUUUAACAUUCAUACGGAAUGAAAUAUCAUUAUUAUCAUACCUUGCAAUUAACUUUUAAAUUAUUUAUAGGAGAAGUUUGAUGUAGAUGAGGAUCUAAAAGAUUAUAUAUUGUCCUUAGCCUAAGGUAAAUAUAGAAUCUACAAAAACAAAAUGAAAGUUGUAUUUUAAACCUUUGGUCUACAAAUGAGGAAAGGUUGAGGCAUAAGCCACCAUUAGUAUCUUAUGUUGAUUGAAGAUGGCUUGUCCAACUUUCGAGUUUAGAAGCAGCACAAGUAAGACUAAUGGCUAGUGUUUUUUAGUGAUUACUUAUUCACUUCGUCUUUAUUUCACAUUUGUAUUUACAUCAAAUAUAGGUCAUCUUUAAAAGAAACAAGGAAGAUAGAGCUAAAUAGAAGAUUCAUCGCACAUCAAGGUCUAAGAGCUUUGCGUAGCUGCAUUUUGAACAAGUUAGUAAAUCUUUUUUAAUAAUAUUUUAUUUAUGGUAAGUUUAUUAUGGUAUAAUAAUUUAAACAUAAUUAUUUUUAUCCUUAACAUGACAGACACAAUAAAAAAACGAUGGCACAAAGCCUAAUAGGACAGAGAUGCUCAAGCUCAUGCAUACAUAGAGGGAUAAAACACCUAUUGAUGAUGCAUCCCGUGAAAUUAUGGUACUUAAUUUUUUCCGUAAUAAAUAUUUGGGAAAUAAUUUUUUUAAAUAUUCCUAUGUUAAUGUAAGAGUGAAUCUUCUUAACAAUAUUUUAAGGCCCAAUUUGAGGAGAUUAUGGUAGCUCAAACACAAUCACAAAUGGGAUAGUCUUCAUCAUCCACUCCAUUGUCAGUGGAUGACAUACACACACAAGUAAUUAAUGGGCUCGGAGAGAAAUGGUUGUGUACGUAGUUUAGGAUUUGGUGCAACUUCUACAUCGGUAUUUGGUGCAACCAGAAAAGGGACACAUGCAACCCUUGCAUCAAAGCUUAAGGAAACACAAGAAGAAGUAUUUCAUUUUUAAAAAAAUAUGAAGAGUAGAUGCGACAACAAAUUGAACAGCAACAAGAUCAAUUACAACAACAAGGACAGUUGCUGCAACAAUAAGAACAACUACAACAACAACAACUACAACAAAUGGAGAUGAUGCAAAAACACAUGCAACAGAUGUAGAAUAUGAUGCAACAAAUGUUUCAGUUUCAGCAAGGACAAUAGGGCCAACAAGACCAAUCUUCUAGUUGAUAUAUGUCUAAUGUCAUUUCUUUUUGAAUCAUUUUGUAAUUGAUACUCUUUUUUUUCUUUUGUCUAGUGUUUCCUGGUGGAAAACACUUGCUUCUACAUAGUAGGUUUUGUUUCUAUUUUUGUUUAGCAGUUUAUAGAUGUUCAUUGCUCCCUUCAAUAUAAUUAACUUCAAUAAGAUCACCAAGUAAGUGUUAAAACUGUUUAUGAAAUCUUUUCAAUUUGUGAAAUCUUUUCCAAUAAUAUUCUAAUUAUUGCUUUCUUUAGUGGUUUCAUUUCACUGAGCGAACAAGUGAUGACUAUGGGAUUCCAUUCAACACUUCUUUUAUGGUUAGUGAAGGUUUAUAACUUGACCUACUUUUAGUUUCUGUUAUGCUUUUUACUUUGUAUAUGACAUACUUUCCACUUGAGAUGAUUUCAUUGGAAAAUUGAUUUGUAUAGGACAUACUUUUGCAGUGGAAUUACACUCACAAAGCUAGUUGGAGUUAUACUUUUGCAACUUCAUCUAUUGUCCUUGAAGGUAUCAGAAAUCCUAGAUAAUUUAUUUAUUUAUUUAUUUUGAGAAUGUACUUGGUGAACAUGAAGACUCUAUAUGCCAUCCCAAAGAAGCACCGAGAAUCCAAAUACAAGCUAAAUUAAUUGUGCUGGCUAGAAUAUCUGGGCAGAACUGUCCCUGAAUCUCUUCUGUAUAAUAUCUUGUCCUUCAUGUUUUUAAAAUGUGUUGUGGUAGUUUUUGAUGAGUAAAUCAUACACGUUGUGUUUAAUGCAUUAGUUGACUUAUUGCGUUGUUGGUUUUUGAGGUAUUGAUUGGAUAGUUCACAGUUUGCUUGGUAAGGGUGGUGCCCUCUUGCAAAUCUAGUAGUUUUUCAGUUUUUUUUUUUUUUUUUUUUUAAAGAUUUAAGGUUUGGGAACCUUUUUUAAUCCUCAAGCAUUACAGUUGGUGUAUUUGGAUGUUAAGUGGUUAACUAGAUGUUACUCUUUUUGAACACUUGCCCAUCCCAUGCAUUCAGAUGGAUUCUGGUUUUUCUUUUUUCCUUUUGGAGUUUGAACUUAGAUUCAAGGUUUCAAUAAUCCAACGAUAGUAAUGUGUUGUCUGGUAUGGUAUUGAUAUCACCUAACACAAUUGAUAUAAAAUGUGAUUAUAAUGCUUGUUGAAGAACUUGGCCAUAGGUAGACACUGGAUUGAUGACCCCAUGUAUUGCCCACUAGAGUUCUCAUGUCAAUUAUCGACUCUUAACACAAUGUCUAGAUUUGUUAUCAACAUGAAUUCAAGAGAGCCACUAGCAGUUCCAUUCUAAUGAUUCUGUGGCAGUCAUCAAACCUUUCAGUUCCUUUUAAAUUAUAUCUAUACAUGAGAACUCAAUUCUCAUGUAUGAAAUUUUGUUGUUUUAUUUUAAGUAGACACAUCAUUUUCAAGUUUUCACCGAAUUUGGUGUGCAUUAUCAGAACCUAAAAAUAAUGAGAAAUUGAAACGAGCAUUCAUUCAUAUGGGAAUUAUUUGUUGGGUAUAUGUGUUAAGAGAAUGACAUAUACCAUGCUUAAUCCUGUGUCUACAUAAUUCUAACUUGAACUUCCUUCACAGAAAAAUUAAUCUUUAAAGUGAAUAACCAGAAGAAUAUGUACAACAAAUAUCAUAUGCUAUAUUAAAGGUUGCUCCUGAUUAAUUGUUGAUUCACUUUCUUGAUUUACUGUUAUAACUACCUGACAGAGAAAUUCUUGAUGGAAUAUUUUUUGUCGUACCAGUUGGAAAAAGUGUGGCUAUUGUUGGAACUAGUGGCAAUGGUAAGGAUCUAAAUGCAUCAGAUUCCUCUCUUUAUCUAUCUAUCUAUCUAAAUUUGCGUAGCAAAUUUUUUUCCUUGCACAUCACAGCAUUUGAUCCCAACCUGCAGAGAUGCAUGUUGUAAAUGGAACCGUUUUGCACCGAUCUCUAAUUGAGGAGCAUGUUCUCUUUGAUGAAGAGAUGUUUGGUUUUACCCUCUUAAGUAUUGCAAUUAUUAUUAUCAUUAUUAUUUUAUCAGAAAUAUAAACUACAACUACUAUUGACAACCAAUAAAUAGAUACCAAUAUUCUUGCAUGCUUAUUAACUCUUUACUUUCCUGGAAGCAGCAUUAAUGUAUUUAAAUUGGUAUCUAUGUGCAGGCAAAUCAGCUCAGCCAUUCUUAGAUUGCUUUUCAGGUUUUUUGAUGCUCAUUGUGGGAUUGUAAGAAACUAUACUUCUCUUCUAUGUCAUUGUUUGCAAUUGUACAAUUUUUAUCUCUAUAUAUUAACAUCUGUAGUUAUCUUGCCAACCAAGUUUUUUGGUCCAUUCUUUAUUGAUGUUCUGCUAGUUAGGUUUGUUUACUUAGGAUAUAUUUGUGCUAGUUUCUUUGUAAUCCUGUGAACUCUGAUUAGCUAAACAGAAAGAUGACAUUAAAUAUUUCUUCGUGAUUGGCUUUCUACCCAUCUGAUAAAAUUCUAGGAUAGGCAUACAAUACAAUGACCUAUAUAGAUGAAGCACUCCAGCUUUUUGGGUUGUGACUAGCUUCCAAAAGUAUGAUCUACAAGACAGAAUUGAAAUGUGAACCUUUUUAACUAUCAAGUAAGAAUCCCAGAUACUGUUGUCUUAAUUUUUUCAAGUUCCCUUCUUUAUCUUCUCUUUAAUAUUUCUAAAUAGUAUUCAAGCUUUGCUCUUCUUCAUUUUCUUUUAUGAAUGCUUAGAUUUAUGGUGACUAAAUGAUUAAUUUCUUGGUUCUUGGCUCCUGAAAUACUUAAAUUCCAGAGUAUUUGAACCUCAGUCUCUGGACUUCAUGUCGAUAGGGGAGCUUGAAUCAAUGAAGGAACGUCCGGUCCACGCCUUGAAGCAUGCUGUACAGAGAAAGGUGAGUGGACGGAUCCGGUACUGUAAUUAAAUUUCUACUUGUGUGGUUCUUGGGCUGCUGGGCAAUCUUGUUCAUUCAAAACCAAGACAUAUAGUAUAAAAAUCCUCUAAGUGGUUAGGUUCUUACCGUGCCUUGUGUCCUUGAUUGUAUUGUCCCAAAAGAGAUUAUUAUUUACCAUGAUUCUAUUAAAAGUUAGUGCUGGAAAGAAAGAGUUUAAUUUGGUCUAAUAUUUAAAACCAACUUAAUAUAUUUGAAUCAUUUAAUGUGCCUCUUUUUGGUUGUAGGAAUAUUUGUUAGGCAACCAUCUAUUUUCUUAUGAUACAUCUUGUUCACAGGUGCCUAAAUUCAGCAAGGUUCAUAGCAAUGUUGCUAUUUUUUAGUUUUUAUGCUUUUAUUUCUUGAUAUCUUUCUUAUUGAUAAUCUUGGUACUCUUUGCAUGGGGUUUAGUUAUUCCUCAUUUCACGUCUCACACAUAACAGCAUGAAUUUUCUGCAAUAGGGAGUCAUUGCAAUACUGAAUAUCCAGAGAGGAAUUGAAGUAGUUAAUAUGUAUAAAUAUUAGCUUUAUGGCUGAGAUUUCUAUCUUUGCCUCAUUACCAGGAUAUUAUGAUGUAUCCUGUUAAUAAUCUCUUAAAUAUUUACUGUCUUAACAUUGGAAAUGAGUAGUGAAAUUCUAUAUUGAUUAGCAUGUAAUAUUUUCCUUAGUUAUAGUAUCAGGAAUGUGGAUGUAUGAUGCGAACCUCAAUGGACACGAUUUGAGACCCAACAAACAAUAUUGGAAUAAUCGUCCAAGAAAGCUAAAAUAUAGAUUUUUGAUAGAACUCUGACCCAACGUUUAUAAGUGAAAGGCGAACCAAAAGUAUAAGUAACAGACCU
rnacentral:lncRNA from 1 species